rnacentral:lncRNA from 1 species
GGCCACAAACCAAUCACUAAAGUCUGAAAAGAAAUUGCAAAAAGAUGAAAAAAAUAAUGUGCAUAUGCAGUUAUAUACACACCAGGAACGCAAAGCACAUAUGCAUCACUAAUCGUCCUGCACAUCACGCAAUAUCCAGGCCUCCAGGAAAACUACACGGACGUGGAGAUCUAGACGAAGAAACGAUGAGGCGACCCCAUCUUCCUGCUCCUACCUUGGGCGACGGAGGCGCUACUUGGAUUGGGAUCUGGACCUCCAUCAGUGCCGCCAAAGAAGUAAACCUUGCAGCCGUCGCUCUCGCCCUUCUCAUCAAUUCUGGUUCAGGAUUAGAUCUUCCAACCAAGCUGACUCACAAUAAAAUUGUUAAGAUAUUUGAAGAUAAAGGGGAAGGAGAGCCCCCACCUCUAGCGCAGGUGAUGCUGGGGAGGACGUCAGGGGUGGCAAGCAUGGUUCACUGCGGUUGGGCAAACGGCGAGGUGUACGCAUAGGCCAAUCUUGUCCGCACCGGCAACCAUCUUGCAUCUUGCGGUUUAGGUCGGCAACAAAAGCAAGAUGGAGGGAUCCAUAAAUAGAGGGAAGAAGGGAAGAACCGGAAGGACUGCAGUAGAGAUUUAUUGAUUGGGGGAGAUGAAGGGAACCAUGGGUGGAAGGUGGAGGAAGAGGCGAAAGACCAAGGGGCCGAACAGGGCUAACGCUUCGGGAGAAAAGUUGGGAGAUGCAAUGAUGUUUCGUACGUGGGUUUCUAGUUCAUUUG